AAAGAGGUAAGCUAAAAAAGCUGAUAGACUCAUAAUCUAUCUAUAGGGUCCCUUCUCUUUA
rnacentral:tRNA from 1 species